rnacentral:rRNA from 1 species
GAUGAACGCUGGCGGCGUGCCUAAUACAUGCAAGUCGAGCGAACAGACGAGGAGCUUGCUCCUCUGACGUUAGCGGCGGACGGGUGAGUAACACGUGGAUAACCUACCUAUAAGACUGGGAUAACUUCGGGAAACCGGAGCUAAUACCGGAUAAUAUAUUGAACCGCAUGGUUCAAUAGUGAAAGACGGUUUUGCUGUCACUUAUAGAUGGAUCCGCGCCGCAUUAGCUAGUUGGUAAGGUAACGGCUUACCAAGGCAACGAUGCGUAGCCGACCUGAGAGGGUGAACGGCCGCACUGGAACUGAGACACGGUCCAGACUCCUACGGGAGGCAGCAGUAGGGAAUCUUCCGCGAUGGGCGAAAGCCUGACGGAGCAACGCCGCGUGAGUGAUGAAGGUCUUCGGAUCGUAAAACUCUGUUAUUAGGGAAGAACAAAUGUGUAAGUAACUAUGCACGUCUUGACGGUACCUAAUCAGAAAGCCACGGCCAACUACGUG